rnacentral:rRNA from 1 species
UAACACGUGAGCAACCUGCCUUUCAGUGGGGGACAACAUUUGGAAACGAAUGCUAAUACCGCAUAAGACCACAGUGUCGCAUGGCACAGGGGUCAAAGGAUUUAUCCGCUGAAAGAUGGGCUCGCGUCCGAUUAGCUAGAUGGUGAGGUAACGGCCCACCAUGGCGACGAUCGGUAGCCGGACUGAGAGGUUGAUCGGCCACAUUGGGACUGAGACACGGCCCAGACUCCUACGGAGGCAGCCAUG